AGCGAAAGCUGGCGGCAGGCCUAACACAUGCAAGUAGAGCGCCGUAGCAAUACGGAGCGGACGACGGGAGAGUAACACGUGGGAACGUACCCUUCAGUACGGAACCACCAAGGGAAACUUUGGCUAAUACCGUAUAAGACCGUAAGGAGAAAGAUUUAUCGCUGAAGGAUCGGCCCGCGUCUGAUUAGCUUGUUGGUGAGGUAACGGCUCACCAAGGCGACGAUCAGUAGCUGGUCCGAGAGGAUGAUCAGCCUCACUGGGACUGAGACACGGCCCAGACUCCUACGGGAGGCAGUAGUGGGGUAUAUUGGACAAUGGGCGCAAGCCUGAUCCAGCCAUGCCGCGUGGGUGAUGAAGGCCCUAGGGUUGUAAAGCCCUUUCGGCGGGGAAGAUAAUGACGGUACCCGCAGAAGAAGCCCCGGCUAACUUCGUGCCAGCAGCCGCCGUAAUAC
rnacentral:rRNA from 1 species